AUCGUUUCCUAGCCGAAGACCGUGGUCCUGUCUUCCUGGAAAUGACACGCGCGCAAUAGUAUCCCCUUCGCCUGCUUUCCCUCGUUUAUUCCUACGCGGCUGGACCCUGUCACUUUUUUCUCCGUGGAUGAUCCUUCACCUACGAAUAUUCGCUAACGCACUGGUUCGUUGCGCGGGCGGCACUAACUCUGGCCUUUUCCACGCGACUCCUCUCGCGCUCUUUCUUCACCUCUCCGCGUAUUACCGACGUAUCUCGAUCACUCCUACGUUUUUACCCUCUUGAUCGGCCACGCGAUCUCUUUGCCCUCGUCUGUACGUUUCCAAAACUUCUUUGCGCCGCAUUUUCUUAAGUAAAUCGGUUACUGUAUUUGAAACAAAAAAAGAUGAUUCGCGAUUCUAAAAAGAAUCCAUGAUAUAGCCUUACGUAUUCUUUCAAGUCUGGAUUUCUGUUACGUUUAACUGGUAUUUUUUGACUCAGUGCGUCACAUUUGGAUUUGGACCAAAUCUCGAAGGCUUGAAAGUUUAAGGGAUCGCUAUUAAAAUCGCUGUUUUAAAGAUCGUUCAGUGAGUGAGUCGUUCCGUCGACGGUAGAUACGCGCUGAACUAUUGUCCGCAAGGUCACGUUCAAGCACCCAUUGUCAGCCAGUGUUCUCUAGCAUCGUGAUUAAUGGAUCACUCGACCCUGAGCAACUAUCGCCGAGGAAAGUGUUUCCCUUGGCAGCAUCCCUUUCCACCAGGAAAUUAACGAUAGCACGUACGAAUCGCGAUUGCCAAGUUUACCAUAAAUCUUCGUGCGCUCUUCGACCCUCGCGAUCGAUCUCGAUGGAACUCGAAGAGUCUUGGAUCGCUCCACGCGAGUCUGUAUGGGGGACAAACUAUGUUGAGUCCGAGAGUUUGGAUACUUAAUUGGAAGUUGUAUUUCUUUAUUUUCAACGUGAAAGAAUACAAACUCUUUUCUCGUUUGUUUUCAGGUUUCCAACUCCAAUUAAUUACUGGAUACGGAGAGGUAUGCUUACGCUCGUUUGAGAACCUAGGCGAUGUGUCUAUGUAACGUAUAGGUAAUAUAAUACAUAACGAGAGUAACUAGGAAUCGAAAUGGUGUACCGAAAUCGUCCUGGAUCGCGCAGUAUUGGAUCAGAGCAGUGGUUUCGAUGCAAAAGGGAUAUUUAUAGCGUGGCAACCGCUUCUACGUGGACUUUCCGGCAUCGUGGCGGGCCAACAAAAAUAUAUUCACACUUCGGACAUGCCUCGAAUAAAGGCGUGUUCGGGUUUUCCUCGAAACUACGCCAUUCACCACCAUAAAUUGAGCCACGGAGAACAUUAGACAGGCCAUAAAAAACUGGCUCGGGCAGCUAGAAGGCCAGUGUAAUAUGUUGAGGAGACAACCGUGCAAACGGAUGGAUUAACAGCCGGAGCGAAAGCUAGAGUUGAAUGAACAAAUAGUCCUCCCUGUUCUGACAAAGAGAUAAACUUGCAACUUAAUGAGCGCGUACAACUCAGAGCUAAGCGAGGCUUGCAUGAGACCGGAGCACUAUUAACGGUAACUUCGAAUAAGUUCCUGUCGUCAUUGAAUAGAAAUUCGGAGUUUCCUCGCGAUUCGCCGACAUCUUGAAACGGGUCUCGGAAAUUGGCGUAUUAAAUUCGACAAAUAUCCUGUCAGCCUGCUGGUCUGCAGCGAUUCAACCAACUUCGAGAAUCGUUGGACUUUCCACGGCGACACUUUUCUAAUUUGACAAGCGGAGAGCCAAAGUAUGUCGAUAGGACUUGUCGGAGCUUCUAUAUUCGUAGCGCAUAACAAAAUAUAUUUCGGCUAUUCUGAGGCUGUGAACCGUAUCGUCUUUCGUUCAUACAAUUUGUAGACAUUCGAUGAUAGAAUAAAAAAUAGUUGGCUCCACAUAUAGGCCAGAAUUAACGACGGACGAACCAUGUCGUAUCGGUUGAAAUAGCAGUCUUGCUCUAUACUUAGCGAGUGGUUUUGGCGUUCACCCUCACAAUUUCAUUAGAAGUUGUCGAUUCCCAUUAGAACAGAGGUAGGGAGCCUUGAUCUCUGGACUGUCGUUGAGAUAUUUAUCAGGAAUGACUGUAAUAGAAUUUUCAAAUCGUAGAGGAAUCAAAAUAGUUUUAUUCUCAUUUAUCUCUGCACUCUUCAAUAUUUCCUUAUAUUCUAUAAAUACUUUAAAUAAACUCUUCGGUUUUUUCACGAAAGAGUAUCUUAAACAAUACGAGCUCGAGAAGAUAAAUGCCACCAGGGUUUAAUAAGUGCUCUCAGCAACCUUUCGAAAUAUACAUAUACCUCGGUCGCGUGAUUGCCUCGGCCGUUUGGUAACACGAGAUGUUAUAUUUACGGAUCAACGAACUCCCCAGGAAGUUUAAACUAACUAGGCCGCGUUUACAAUUUCGAUUUCAGGAAGCAAAUUCUCACGUCGCUUCCAAGAAUCGACCCCGUUAUAGAGUACAACAGGCGAUUGAAAUCGUCUGAAUCGCAUCGAUACGAACGCUUUGAUGGACUUGCUCAAGUAAUAAAUUAAUUUCGACGUACCUGCGACCUGAGGACCUUUUCUUCGCGAAUCUCGUCCAGGUGAUCGUGGGGCAAGGUAAACGGUUCCUGAGGAGUCGAAGGUCGACUGUAUUCGUCGUAGCACGGUGGAGGCACAGGACUCUUCGGCAACUCCGUCGACUAGUGACCGCAGCCCUGUUGCCAAUGAUCGGCUUGAUAAUCGGAGGUGACGUGGUAAUGUUGGUACGAGACGCACUCGACUGGUCAGACCUUUCGAUUACAAGCCUUAUGGAUUCAGAGGUUUGGAGGAGAUUCUGGG